GCCGGGCGUGGUGGCGGGCGCCUGUAGUCCCAGCUACUUGGAGGCUGAGGCGGGAGAAUGGCAUGAACCCGGGAGGUGGAGCUUGCAGUGAGCCGAGAUCGCGCCACUGCACUCCAGCCUGGGCAACAGAGCGAGACUCCGUCUCAA
rnacentral:sRNA from 1 species